AAUGGGUUAUGGCUUAAACCUAUAUGGCCUCUGGAUUGGACUGCGGCCGAUCAGGCAGUUGGUGAGGUAAUGGCCCACCAAACCUGUUACCGGUACGGGCUCUGAGAGGAGGAGCCCGGAGAUGGGCACUGAGACAAGGGCCCAGGCCCUAUGGGGCGCAGCAGGCGCGAAACCUCUGCAAUAGGCGAAAGCCUGACAGGGUUACUCUGAGUGAUUCCCGCUAAGGGGAUCUUUUGGCACUUCUAAAAAUGGUGCAGAAUAAGGGGUGGGCAAGUCUGGUGUCAGCCGCCGCGGUAAUACCAGCACCCCGAGUGGUCGGGACGAUUAUUGGGCCUAAAGCAUCCGUAGCCGGUCAUGCAAGUCCUCCGUUAAAUCCACCUGCUCAACAGAUGGGCUGCGGAGGAUACUACAAGGCUAGGAGGCGGAAGAGGCAAGCGGUACUCAGUGGGUAGGGGUAAAAUCCUCUGAUCCAUUGAAGACCACCAGUGGCGAAGGCGGCUUGCCAAUACGCGCUCGACGGUGAGGGAUGAAAGCUGGGGGAGCAAACCGGAUUAGAUACCCGGGUAGUCCCAGCUGUAAACGAUGCAGACUCGGUGAUGGGCCGGCUUUAUGCCGGCUCAGUGCCGCAGGGAAGCCGUUAAGUCUGCCGCCUGGGGAGUACGGUCGCAAGACUGAAACUUAAAGGAAUUGGCGGGGGAGCACCACAAGGGGUGAAGCCUGCGGUUCAAUUGGAGUCAACGCCGGA
rnacentral:rRNA from 1 species